rnacentral:rRNA from 1 species
GAGUUUGAUCGUGGCUCAGGAUGAACGCUAGCUACAGGCUUAACACAUGCAAGUCGAGGGGCAGCAUGAACUUAGCUUGCUAAGUUUGAUGGCGACCGGCGCACGGGUGAGUAACACGUAUCCAACCUGCCGAUGACUCGGGGAUAGCCUUUCGAAAGAAAGAUUAAUACCCGAUGGCAUAGUUCUUCCGCAUGGUAGAACUAUUAAAGAAUUUCGGUCAUCGAUGGGGAUGCGUUCCAUUAGGUUGUUGGCGGGUAACGGCCCACCAAGCCUUCGAUGGAUAGGGGUUCUGAGAGGAAGGUCCCCCCACAUUGGAACUGAGACACGGUCCAAACUCCUACGGGAGGCAGCAGUGGGGAAUAUUGCACAAUGGGGGAAACCCUGAUGCAGCGACGCCGCG